CACGGCGAUCGAAAAUGAAUGCUCCUUCAUUCUUGCAGUGUGAGAGAAGUGACGGUUACACAGAAACACGGCCUCGGCGUGUAAAGAGCGGUGCAGGCCAGGGGAAUUUCCUGUGACUUCAAUCAGCUUGGAUUUAUUAGCUCUCAUGGAGGAGAGAAAGCAGCAAGCGGCAAGCUCUUCUUGAUGAAUGGUCUCACAUCAAGAAGAGAGAGAGGAAACACCUUGCGUGCAGAGGAUCCCGUUAUGCUCCACGCUGCCUCGCAGAGCAUCUACCCUUGACUUGCUGCCGGGCCUCUGCCGACUCCCACCUCGUGGCCUGCCUCGCGCCACCUCCUGCCAAGGGCACCGUGUUGAAAGUAGCAGCUGGUUACGUGGCCUUAAAAAUAAAAGCAGCAGGAAGCGACUAGCAGCGCUUCUGCCUCGGCGGCGUCAGAGCGCGGACGAGCAUCGCUGAGCUCAGAAACUCCCGACAGCUCAGCCUGCCUCCCGCUGCUGGCAGGAGCUACAAAACCCGAGGCCAGUCGGUCCACCGCAGGACUCUCCCCGCACCAGAGGUGAUCCAGGCAGGUUGGUUUCAGAAAGCGGCGGAGACCGGGGAAAAAUCUGACUCUGCCUUAGGGCUUCCUUUCCUCUAUCCAUCCAAACUGCCUUAGGGACCCUCCGGCUCAGCAGCCAGGCACUCUGCCCUCUCCCGUGGCCCACGUACCGCACUACAAACGUUAUGUUUGCUCCCAAAGCCGACAGCUGCUGCGUCCAGAUCUGCACACAACUAAUACAGCUGGAGUCUUAGCCACGUAGUGGGGAUGGCAUUAUACUGGAAUAACGUCCUCCUCCAUAGGAAGGCAAACAGUUUUAUUGGCACGAGACACGUCUUUCCCAGUAUAAAUGCAUCCAUGGGAUGGGUUGGGUUAAUAUAAUAGUGUCAAUAAAAGCU